CGCUUGCACAGGUAGAGAUUGCCCCAUGCAGAUGAGCCAUGUAGGGGGCUCGGGCCCUAGGGACCCAGCCUCUGGGCCAGGGGUUGGCCUGCCCAGGCCUGCUGGUGUCUCAGCUGGUGGCCGAGAGCCAUAAGGCAGGCAUUGUCCUCCACAAGGUCAGCUUUGCCGCUAACUUCCUGUUCUCGUUAAUAACCUGAUGCAAGGAAUUCUAUUGCAAUUGUUUAUGUGUCUCUCCGAGAAGGCUGUGAGCAACACAGUAUCCCGAGCUCCUGGUCUGAUGCCUGACACACAGUAGGUGUUUAAUAAAUGAUUCUUCAGUGCAUAAGUGAAAGAAAACAUGGGUGAAGUUAGCAUGGUCAGGACCAUUGCAACUGCCUUCUGACUGGUCUCCUUGCUUCUCCUUAGUCUCCAGGCAGCAGUUGGAGUGAUACAGUAAUGGGAAUCACCACACUCUUCCUUCUCUGGCCAGGUGCAGCCCCAGACUGGUGCUUCCAGGGAGCCCUUGAUGCCUUGGUGAGGGGUGUGGGCUUGGAAGCUGGGCACUUACAGCUGUGGGUUGUUGCCACUGUUGGAGUAGCGGAGGCAUCGAGCCCCCUCCCGAUUUUCCAGCAUGACUAGUGGUGACAAUAUUGGGUCUCAAUGGGUCUCUCCUGCCUCCAGUCCAGUGCCCUUUUUUGGGGACCAUUAUUGGCUUUUGGGGACCCUGAAGGAGGAAUGGCCUGAUUAUGCAAUUUGGCUGGAGUGGAACGUCCCCAUGACGACAUGGCAAUGAGUCUUCCCCAGCAGGCAGAUGCCAGAUGCAGUGGUGACCACACCUGCCAUCUGGGAGGAUUCCAGGCAGACUCUCACUCUGCUGCCCAGGCUAGAGUGCAGUGGUGUGAUUAUAGCUCACUGCAGCUUCAAACCCCUGGGCUUAAAUGAUCCUCCUACCUCAGCAACCCAAGAAGCUGGGACAACAGGUGCACCCCCAGCCCAGGCGACAUCAACGGCCAGCCCCAUACGCGUGAGGAGGGAUUGCGGCACCAGGGGCGCUCAGGAUUGGGCCGGGCUGCUUCUCAGAAGAGGGGACAUUGAGCCCAAGCAGGCUGCACUCCUGCUUGGACGGAAGGUGCAUGGGUGGGGAGGGUAAUCACACCAAUAGAGACAUGGAUGGACUCGUGCAGAACAUAAAUACUCUCUUUGCUUAUGUCUAUGUUACUCAAAGGAACCAUGGAAAUAACAAAUUCCCAAUUACAAUGCAGUAAACUUUAAGAGGAGCAGAG